rnacentral:rRNA from 1 species
UACGAAGGGGGCUAGCGUUGCUCGGAAUCACUGGGCGUAAAGCGCACGUAGGCGGCUUACUAAGUCAGGGGUGAAAUCCUGGAGCUCAACUCCAGAACUGCCUUCGAUACUGGAGAGCUCGAGUCCGGGAGAGGUGAGUGGAACUGCGAGUGUAGAGGUGAAAUUCGUAGAUAUUCGCAAGAACACCAGUGGCGAAGGCGGCUCACUGGCCCGGUACUGACGCUGAGGUGCGAAAGCGUGGGGAGCAAACAGG